rnacentral:rRNA from 1 species
UACGAGCGGUCCAAACGUUAUUCGGAAUUACUGGGCUUACAGAGUUCGUAGGCGGCUCUACAAGUGAGGUGUGAAAGCCCUCGGCUCAACCGAGGAACUGCGCUUCAAACUGUAGAACUAGAGGGAGACAGAGGUGAGCGGAACUUAGGGUGGAGCGGUGAAAUGCGUUGAUAUCCUAAGGAACACCCGUGGCGAAAGCGGCUCACUGGGUCUCUUCUGACGCUGAGGCACGAAAGCUAGGGUAGCGAACGGG